ensembl:lncRNA
GUAGAAUUAAAAUGAACUUAAAUUAAAAUAAAUUUAAUUAUGACUAAUUUAUAAAUAGAACAGCAAGGUUUGUAGACAGAAUAGGUAUGGAUGUAUGGACAGACAGAGACAGACAAUGUAGAGAUAAAAAGAUGCAGAGAUAGAUAGAUAGAUAGAUAGAUAGAUAGAUAGAUAGAUAGAUAGAUAGAUAGAUAGAUAGAUAGAUAGAUAGAUAGAUAGGUGUGUGGGUGGAUAGAUGUUGGAUGGACAAAUAGAGAGAGAUGAUAUAUGGGUUGAUGGAUAAAAAGAGAGAUAUAGAGGAAGAUGCAGAGAUAGUUAUAGAAAUUGUUAUAGAGUUUGAUGGAUUAGCGAGAGAUUGAUAUAGGGAUGGAUGGGGGAGAGAUAUAGAGAUAGGGAUAGGUAUCAAAAUAGAGAUGGAUGGAUGGAUGGAUGGAUGGAUGGACAGAUAGAUAGAGAGAGAUAUAUAUAGUGAUAAGUCACUUUGAAUUAAAAACCUUUGUCAAAACAGCAACUACUAACAGUCAGAUACAGUUAAUUGUACAGCUAUCAUCAGUUCUUCAUUUCUGGCAGUAAAUAACAUUAGUAUCUCAAGGUCACACCAGGAAAAGGUGAUGUGUGGACUGUCCUAAUGCUCUCCUCAACGUAAAACAACCUGUCAGCCGUGAUCUGAUACACAUAUUCAUUUACAGAGGGAUCCAUAUAGCAUUUCUGCGCUUAUAGUUGUGUAUGAUGAAAAAAAGUGAGCAUGUUAAAGAAAAUAGUGUCUGUCUGUAUAUACGUCUUUGACAGGGUCCUAUGCUAGAUUCACUCCAGUAGAGCGCUACUGCAGGCAUCGAUGGAGGCGAGGUAAAGAAGAGACGGCGCACUGAUUUCUCCUCCACCAGUGACAGCACAGAGUAAUGACUGGAAAGACCUCCAGCCCUGAGAUCUAUCUUGCAGGCUGCUCUGGGCUGACUGCCUGGCCAUCCUGCCCGCCUGCCCAGGCCAGAUGCAGCGAGGCCAGAUGGAGGAGCUAAUCACUGGAGCAGCAGGCAG